rnacentral:ncRNA from 1 species
GGCGCGGCUCUUGCUAUCAGAUCCACACCGGUAACCAACGGCGGUUGCCCCACCUACGACAAAGACGUCGC